AGAUUAAGUUAUUAAGGGCGCACGGUGGAUGCCUUGGCACUAGAAGCCGAUGAAGGACGUUACUAACGACGAUAUGCUUUGGGGAGCUGUAAGUAAGCUUUGAUCCAGAGAUUUCCGAAUGGGGAAACCCAGCAUGAGUUAUGUCAUGUUAUCGAUAUGUGAAUACAUAGCAUAUCAGAAGGCACACCCGGAGAACUGAAACAUCUUAGUACCCGGAGGAAGAGAAAGAAAAUUCGAUUCCCUUAGUAGCGGCGAGCGAAACGGGAAGAGCCCAAACCAACAAGCUUGCUUGUUGGGGAUGUAGGACACUCUAUACGG
rnacentral:rRNA from 1 species